rnacentral:tRNA from 1 species
ACAGAUAUAAGUUAAACAUAAACUAUUGGUCUUCAAAACCAAAAAUUUUAAUCUGUA